rnacentral:rRNA from 1 species
CUCGUAGGCGGUUUGUCACGUCGUCUGUGAAUCCCUCGGCUUAACCGGGGGCGUGCAGGCGAUACGGGCAGACUUGAGUACUACAGGGGAGACUGGAAUUCCUGGUGUAGCGGUGAAAUGCGCAGAUAUCAGGAGGAACACCGGUGGCGAAGGCGGGUCUCUGGGUAGUAACUGACGCUGAGGAGCGAAAGCAUGGGUAGCGAACAGGAUUAGAUACCCUGGUAGUCCAUGCCGUAAACGGUGGGCGCUAGGUGUGGGGUCCUUCCACGGACUCCGUGCCGUAGCUAACGCAUUAAGCGCCCCGCCUGGGGAGUACGGCCGCAAGGCUAAAACUCAAAGGAAUUGACGGGGGCCCGCACAAGCGGCGGAGCAUGUGGAUUAAUUCGAUGCAACGCGAAGAACCUUACCUAGGCUUGACAUAUACAGGACGACGGCAGAGAUGUCGUUUCCCUUGUGGCUUGUAUACAGGUGGUGCAUGGUUGUCGUCAGCUCGUGUCGUGAGAUGUUGGGUUAAGUCCCCGCAACGAGCGCAACCCCUGUCUCAUGUUGCCAGCACGUAAUGGUGGGGACUCGUGAGAGACUGCCGGGGUCAACUCGGAGGAAGGUGGGGAUGACGUCAAAUCAUCAUGCCCCUUAUGUCUAGGGCUUCACACAUGCUACAAUGGCUAGUACAGAGGGCUGCGAUACCGCGAGGUGGAGCGAAUCCCUUAAAGCUGGUCUCAGUUCGGAUUGGGGUCUGCAACUCGACCCCAUGAAGUCGGAGUCGCUAGUAAUCGCAGAUCAGCAACGCUGCGGUGAAUACGUUCCCGGGCCUUGUACACACCGCCCGUCACGUCAUGAAAGUCGGUAACACCCGAAGCCGGUGGCCUAACCCUU